rnacentral:rRNA from 1 species
AAAGUCGGCAACACCCGAAGCCGGUGGCCCAACCCUCUGGGAGGGAGCCGUCGAAGGUGGGGUCGGUGAUUGGGGUG